rnacentral:rRNA from 1 species
GAUGAACGCUGGCGGCGUGCCUAAUACAUGCAAGUCGAACGCUGGAGAUCUAGCUUGCUAGAUCGAAGGAGUGGCGAACGGGUGAGUAAUACAUAAGCAACCUACCCACGAAGACUGGGAUAAUCUCUGGAAACGGGGACUAAUACCGGAUAGGUAAUCGGAAGGCAUCUUCUGGUUAUUAAAGGUUAAAAACACUGGUGGAUGGGCUUAUGGCGCAUUAGUUAGUUGGUGAGGUAACGGCCCACCAAGACGAUGAUGCGUAGCCGGCCUGAGAGGGUGAACGGCCACAUUGGGACUGAGACACGGCCCAGACUCCUACGGGAGGCAGCAGUAGGGAAUUUUCGGCAAUGGGGGCAACCCUGACCGAGCAACGCCGCGUGAGUGAAGACGGCCUUCGGAUUGUAAAGCUCUGUUGUAAGGGAAGAACGGUAGAUAGAGAAUAUCUAAGUGACGGUACCUUACCAGAAAGCCACGGCUAACUACGUG